ACCUGUAUCAUGGUCAACACCGCACAAGUCGCUCUGUGAUUAUUAUGUUUUAUUUGUAUUUUAUCUGUACUUGAGUUUUACUGCUGAAAAGUCUAGUAUCCAAGAAGUUUUUAUAGAAGAUUAAGAGUUUAUAAAAAGAUCGUUCAGCAGUGGCAUCAGAUAUGGACAGAGUGAGCAGAAUGCGAAGAGCUAUGUAUUGCUAAAUUUGGGUAAACUGCAGUAAAUUCGUUUAAAAAUAUAAAUUUUAAAAUUU
rnacentral:lncRNA from 1 species